GGGGCUGUAACGGUUUCGACGUUUUGGUGAACGUAGCCUCGUGAUGCAGGCCGAGAGUGAGUCGUCUCUCGCAAAUCAAAGGCUCAAAACACGUACAUGCGAACAACAUUGUACCCUUCGCUCGUAAGGCCGUUGCUGUUGCCUAAAAACCAUUAAUUGGUUCGAGCAUCUGUAGUCUGACUCCGUUAAAGGCUAUGGAUAACCCCCAACGGAUGCGCUAAAAAACCGUCUCUGGUCGGUGAUUUAGCUAAGACUUUUACCAGAGCAUCCCACCGUCCGGGAUAGGUGACGGUUCCCGCUUGAGGAUUAGAAAAGCUAAGCCUGUGAACGAUCGAGGAGCUAAUAGCUAAAGCGGACACGGGUUCGACUCCCGUCAGCUCCACUA
rfam:Cyanothece sp. PCC 7425, complete genome.